GAUGAGCGCUGGCGGCGUGCCUAAUACAUGCCAGUCGAGCGAACAGACGAGGAGCUUGCUCCUCUGACGUUAGCGGCGGACGGGUGAGUAACACGUGGAUAACCUACCUAUAAGACUGGGAUAACUUCGGGAAACCGGAGCUAAUACCGGAUAAUAUAUUGAACCGCAUGGUUCAAUAGUGAAAGACGGUUUUGCUGUCACUUAUAGAUGGAUCCGCGCCGCAUUAGCUAGUUGGUAAGGUAACGGCUUACCAAGGCAACGAUGCGUAGCCGACCUGAGAGGGUGAUCGGCCACACUGGAACUGAGACACGGUCCAGACUCCUACGGGAGGCAGCAGUAGGGAAUCUUCCGCAAUGGGCGAAAGCUUGACGGAGCAACGCCGCGUGAGUGAUGAAGGUCUUCGGAUCGUAAAACUCUGUUAUUAGGGAAGAACAAAUGUGUAAGUAACUAUGCACGUCUUGACGGUACCUAAUCAGAAAGCCACGGCUAACUACGU
rnacentral:rRNA from 1 species